ensembl:lncRNA KIF25-AS1 KIF25 antisense RNA 1
CGCCACCAAUGUGGCCCAGGCCACCAGCCCCCGUGACACUGCAGCCAUCCCCUUUGCUCCCCGUCGUGGCCUCCCGACCGAGCAGCCAGAGUGACCCCGAAAGCCUAAAUCAGCCUGCGGCGCCCUCACCCGUCCUCCAGCUGCCAUCGCCUCCUGGGUGAAGAGGACGCAGGUCGCAGCCCCCGCAGCUCUGCCCCUCUGCCCUCCGGCCAGGCCGCCCCGCUGUCCCCCUUGCUGUCCACCUCUCUGUCCACCCCUGCUGUCCCCCCCCGCUGUCCCCCCCGCUGUCACACCCCCGCUGUCCCCCCCCCGCUGUCCCCCCUGUUGUCCCCCCGCUGUCCCUCCCGCUGUCCCUCCGGCGAGGAGGCUUCUGCACGUUCUGCGUGGGCCUCUCCCCGGGGCCGCCCCAGGUCUCCCCUGACGCCCACACCCACCACCAGGCUGUUGUGCGGGACCUUCCUUCUCUGCCUCUCCAGCUGGUGACGCGCACUGACGUCCUGCAAGGCCCGCUCCAGGUGCGCCACCUUUGACUGGCAUGCUGAAAGGACAAAGGGACGGAGGCAUUUUACCGGAGAGGACAUCCAUGGGGCCCAGCAGGUCAAAUUCCUUUCUCUAAGUAUGGGAGACAUUUUUAAAAAUAAUGGAGUCCUCCAGGGCCGGCUGCGUGCUGUGGCCUGUGCUCCUCACUGCUUUGGACCCAGGCUGCGCUGUCUCCACCACGACCAAGGACUCACAGAGCUCGCCUGGGGGACCUGGCCCCACAGUCACCCCGUCCGUCAUCAGCCUCAAAUGCCAUCAGCCCGUGAAUGCUGCUCCAUCGUCUGCAUGGCAGCCAAGGAGGUCUCUGCUCCUAAAGCACCUGGGAGCCCUUGGAUGGUGCCAGGUGAUGUGGCGAUGAGUGGGCAUCGCGUGGGGGCCUUGGACGAGCGUGGACACCCCAAUCCCCAGACUGGCCAUUGCCGUGGAGGCAGCGUGAGUGUGACAUGGAGCUCGGUGUCGUGCUGCAGAGGACGCCUCGCGGCUGUACGCGUCAUGAUAGCCAGGGACCCCUCCACAUGUCACUUAGCCAAAGGAUGCAGCCCAGCCUGGGGCUUUCUACCCCAGGCCCGAGGACCUGCAGGGACAAGGACCCCUCAGCGCAGAUGCAGCUCUCAUGAGGCCUGAAACCAAGCUGGACUUGCAGAACUGCGCACGCUCCCUUUCUGAAAGAAACACCCGUUACCGGGUCCAGACUGAAUGUGGGCGUAAGAAAGCGGGAAGGGUCCCCCACAGCAAGAGAGAGACCCUCCCAGUCACUUGGUCAUCUGAGCCUUGAGUGUGUCCGGCCCCAGCCACCAGCCUGUCCCCACUAUCCCUCUUGUCAGCACGGCUGAAAGGAGCUGCCUGGGCACCUGAGGUGGCUGAGGCUCAUCUUUGAGGAGCAUGGAACUCGAGGGGAGAAGUCGCGCCCCCAGGGAAGCCAGGAAACUCUGACACAGAACGCCCAACGUGGACACAGGUGCCAGUUCAGCAGUGACCGUCAAGACCGGGGAAGUGCCCUGUGGUGACCAGGAGAACAAGGAGCUCCUCCAGCAAGCAGGGCUGCAGUGGGAGCUGGGAGGGAGCAGUGCACCUGCCAGCGUGGCCGAGUCACACAGUGCCUGCCCUCACCUGUGGAAUUUGGUGUCAGCUAAAAGGAAGAAGAAAUGGAAACUUAAAUUCUAGCCGGUCAUUUUCUUAAAACUGCAAACAUUUCUCUCGAGUGUGGACUGGCCCGGCUUCGGUGAAAGGUGCCCUCCUACCUAGCAGGGUCUCGGCACUCUGCUGUGUUCUUUGCACCGCGGUCACUAUUUCAGAAACACGGUCCUGAUACUCAUCCUGAUAAUCUCUUAAGAGCGCCCGAGAAGAAGAAUGAAACGCCUGUAUAUCCUGGUUAAGUUUCUAUAAAAUAAGAACAUACACGAUUCAUAAAAUUAUAUGAUUAAUGAUCACAGUAUAAUUACAUAAGAAUUUGUUAUAUAUGUUUCUAUAGAAUAAUAACAUACCCACACAAUUAAUAUAAGGGAUAUGUUGUUAACUGGAAGGGUGUAAAGCAGAAGUUCUUCGGCCCGGGCCUGUCGAUGCCCGCCAGGACUGUUUUCAUGCUGCCUGUGCCUCGGCUCACUUACAGAAGUUCUGACUCAAUACAUCUGGGAUUUCUACUUUCAAAGCAGUACAUGUGAUUUUAUGCCCUUAAAGUAUUUAAGAAACAGAAAGUCAAGUGUUUCACCAAUUUCCGUAGGAAGGGCCGCUCACUGCACGGUGGGGCGAUGCUGGGCGCGAGCCGUGUUUCCGUCUAUUGUUGACUUCCUCACGAUGCUGGCUCAGGCUCAGAGCCUCUCAUCACCGCCUGUGAAAUGGGGACCACCCUCCUAAUCUACUAUCCAGACCUGCCUUCUGGAAGCUCAAUUAUCACGAGCACAUGGUGGAAAACGUGGGCCGGUGAAAACAACUUAACAUGUAAAUGUACAUAAUAAAAUUCCAGGCACAAUACAUAUGAACGCUUUUAGAGAACUUUGGGAGCAAAGCAACUGAUGUCCUGCGUGGAAAGUCCUCUUCUCCCCAUGAAAUUAUCUCAAGGAUCUUCCAUGGGAAGAUGUGACAGAACCAGGACACUACUGCUUAAUAUUUAAUAUCAGAUACUCUUAAAUCACAGGAGCAUAACUAAAGUAUUCUUCGUUUCUUUAGUCAAAUCUCCUUUUCUAUAAAAUGGAGACGGCUUUCAUAUGUUUGGGAAACAUUUUAAUAACGAAUUAAUAAACAUUUUAAUAUCAAAA